UUCCCGGGCCUGGCAUACCCUGGAGGAGGGAGGCUCAGGGCGCAGACUGGGAGUCUUCAGAGGCUGGGAGAGAUCUUUGCUUCUGAUUCCUUUUGUUGACAUUUCCUGAACUUUAAAUUCAAUCUGACCAGGCAUGAGUGGUUCUGGGAGGCAGAUAGCACGUGGGUAAUUAGAUUCUGAGAGCUUAAUGCAGAGGUUCCUCUGAAAAGGCAAGGCUUCUGCACACAUACCUUUAAACUCUCCUCUGAGAGCAGGCUACUUGGUGUGGGGCCUUGCAGUGGCCCACCGCAGGCAAGCCUGCUUGUGGUUUACACAAUGGAUUCCUCUAUCUUUCAGGCUCUGGGUUUUAGAGGAAACAAAUUCUGAAGUCCCCCAGGGAAUGCAGGCUUUACAUUGUGCAAGGGGCACCUUCUAGAGAGAGGUAUCUGGAAAUCAAGGUUUUAGAAGUUGGUUGGCAGUGAAAAUACAAGACCCUGUUACCUGAUACUCUGGUCUGUAAUAAAUUCUGAAAGGAAGGCUUUGGCACUUGGAGGGAUCCCGGAGUAACCACUGUUGUUUGGUAAGUCUGAGCGUUCAUAAACAAAGGGAAGACUAUGCUACAGGAGGCGGCAACGGUGCGAUGGAGCUGAGGGCCAGGGAGCCAAGCUAAUAUGGACUAAUACUGACUACAGACAGGCUGCUUCACUAAAUCCUGAAGAGUCUUUAUGAGGGUAAUCUCACUCUUCCUCCUUCUUGUCCACGGAGACCCAGAGCUGUGAAAUCCUGCAAGCUCAAGAUCCCAGCUCUGCAACAAAACAAAACAAAACAAAACAAAACACACCAGCUCUUCCUGGUAACCUCUAGAGUUCCGUCGCUACUUCAUGUGUGCCACAGGUGCUCUGGCUGCUUGCUAAGAAUCUGACCUCACACGUCUGGACAUGUUGACGGGCCACCAAAACUCAAGUGAGGGGCUGUUCCACUUUCCCAUUCCAAGGUCCAGGACAUCAGAGAAAAGUUUAUCUACAACCUUGAACACAAUCCGAGCAUUUGCUCACAGACACAACUCAAACGGUUCUGAUAUGACUUCCCAUAUAUCUUGGUUCACAGACCAAAUUAAAAUUUAAAUAAAGUACAUUGAACGCUCUUUACCAAUAUACGUUUCUUUUAUCUUAUUUUAUUUUCCCUUUUGUUGUCCUUGUUUUUUU